UUAUCAACAUAUUAAACUCGUAAAAAGAACUCAAUUUUUUUGAUAAUUUUUGUAAUUCUAUUCUGUAUAAUAUAAAAAAGAUAUAUAUAUAUAUAUAUAUAUAUAUAUAUAAAUUCAAAUAUGGAAAAGUUACUCUAAGGGGAUUCUUUGUUUUUUCUUUUUUUGUCCUUUCCUAGAGUCCGAUUAUUAUUCCUUCUUGUUUGUGUUGAAAUAGAAAUAUUCUAAAAAUCUCAAUAAAAUAAUCUUUUUUAAACCCUUCCUGAAAAAUCCUAUAUCUUAGUUUCUAUUUUUUC
rnacentral:lncRNA from 1 species